GCACCACAAGAACGCGUGGAGCAUGUGGCUUAAUUUGACUCAACGCGGGAAAUCUUACCGGGUCCGGACACACUGAGGAUUGACAGGCAAUAUCUCAUGGUUAUUAAUCGGUUAUUUAUUUAACGGUUAAUUAAGCAUCGAGUGUUAAAUAUGCUAGUCCUUUCAUGAUUAUGUGAUAGGUGGUGCAUGGCCGUUCUUAGUUCGUGGAGUGAUCUGUCUGCUUAAUUGCGUUUCACUAAGGGCCCAUAAAUUCAAGGUAUGUUAGCUAUCGUCGCUCUAUGGACCCCUUAUCAAGCUAUUAGUUUGUUUAAGCGCGCGUCUUUAUUUAAUGAGUUUAAGACACUGCGCAUGCUGUUGGGC
rnacentral:rRNA from 1 species